GGGCUGUUGCUUGAUGCAAUGAUAAGUUUAGGAGUGAGGGGUGCAGUCUUCAGUCUUGAGGACAAGCAUCUCAUGCAAAAUUGCUGAAGCUUGGGAUCUGGAGUAGUUCACCCUCUUAGAAUGAUGCUGAUUAUCUAAGUCAUUCUUUAUGUGGGAUCGAAGCUUGCCCUUAAGAUUUCUAAGGUGUUUGCUUAUGGGCAUGCAGAAGAGGGAUGUUGUAUAGCUCAUACAAUAGACCAAUAGAAAAAUGAACAGGGAUGUUGUCAAUUGUAUUUUGUUUUCAAUGCCACUUGAUACUUGAGUUGAUUCCCAUUUAGCGCUUGAUAUCGUUAGCAUAUAGAAUUUGAGUUUCAG
rnacentral:misc_RNA from 1 species